UAAGACAGAGGGUGCAAACGUUGCUCGGAUUUACUGGGCGUAAAGCGCAAGUAGGCGGUCUUGUAAGUCGGGUGUGAAAACCCGGGGCUCAACCCCGGCAGUGCACACGAUACUGCGAGACUGGGGUACUGAAGAGGAGAGCGGAAUUCUCGGUGUAGAGGUGAAAUUCGUAGAUAUCGGGAGGAACACCAGUGGCGAAGGCGGCUCUCUGGGCAGAUACCGACGCUGAGAUGCGAAAGCGUGGGAAGCAAACAGGAUUAGAUACCCUGGUAGUCCACGCCGUAAACGAUGACGACUGGGUGUUGCGGGUAUUGACCCCCGCGGUGCCGAAGCUAACGCGUUAAGUCGUCCGCCUGGGAAGUACGGCCGCAAGGCUA
rnacentral:rRNA from 1 species